ACAGAUAAUCAUUCUGCACCUCCUGAUGUAACCACGUACACCUCAGAGCACUCCAUACAGAUGGAGCGACCACAGGGUUCCACGGGGUCCCGGACAGCGCCCAAGUACUGCAACGCCGAGCUCAUGGAGACCGGGAGUGGGCUGGAGAUGUUGACCAACAGCCUUGGGAGGAGAGGUUGCAGCUGAGCCCACACCCUCUCAAACUCCUUCAGACUGUUUGUUUUUGUAGACUACUUUACCAUUAACAACAAAUCCUAAGAUUUACUCAAUCAGUACAGCAGUCGUUGGCCAGAGUUCAAAUUUCUGAUUCGAAGGAAUCUGCACUCUGCCUGCCAGGAUCGACUAUUAAUGGCUUCGUCCAUAGAGGAGCUGUGUCUUUGCUCACUACGGAACAGUAUUGAGGCUUCGAAAGGGGUAUUUUGCUGGUCACCUCCUGGUCAUCCUUCUGCUCACCAAGAACAGAUACUGUUCUCAGCCCCUUACAUUUACAAGGUCGUUUAAUUCUCACAUAGCCCUUUCAGAUAGAUGCGACUAUUACCCCAUUUUCCAGAGGAGGAAAUCGAGAGGCGGAGGACAUAGGUGAAUUGUCCCAGAUCACAGAGCUGGCCAUGGAGCUGGGACUUGCACCCGGCCAGCCUGGCUCCAGAGUUCACUGCCCUCCUCCUGUACAGCACGUGUGACCUGCAGUAAUCACCGCCCAAACAGGCAGGCACUGCGGAUAGCCAAGCACACCUCUUCCGACUUCAGCACGGAGGAAGGUUCGUUUUCAUUCUGGUGUUCAGCUCAGGACUGUGUUUAUCACCACAAGGACGCACCACCCAGAAAGCUCAGUCACGUGCCGUUGCCUUCUACGGUCAUGGUUUUCUACUUUUUGGCCCCAUUUUCCUGCACACUUGGCCUGCUGGGACGUGAAUGAUGCGUUACUACUUCUACAGAAUGCAGGUGAGCAGGUAGCAUGGCAAGGUGGGUGAUUGGACAAGAUUUCCCGACAGCUGGAAGCUUCGGGGAGACCCGCGGUGGCCCCUUGUUAUUCCUGGACGAGCCUCCUCUGGGGUCGAGCGUGAGUCCCUCAUCGCUGGUGCCAGGCGGUGUCACAGUUUUCAGCACCCAACAGCCAGGGCAGCUUCUCUCUGUCCAGCUCGCCCUGCCCCGCCCCUCUCCUUUAGUGAGAGAAGCUCUCUGACUCUUGGGAUUUUGCAGUGAGAAGAGUGAUCAUUACAAUUUUCAUUCUGAAUAUUGUGGCCCUGCUGGACUGCGGUGCAACAGGCUCUUUCAUGAAGAUUGGCAGAGAUGCUGACGGCUAGGGCAUCGGGACCGAGGGGAGUGAGCAGGACUCAUGGGAUACAGCUCAUAGAGAGAGGGAGCCAUAGAACUGUGAGGCUGCUCUUCACAUGGCCGCACUCUCUCCUGUGUCCUCCGUGGAACCUGUGGAGGCGGCGUUAGGCGCUGGCGCUCUCCGGGAUGUGAGCUCAGUCAGCAAGAGAACAUCUGCCUUCCCACCCCCAUCUCUGCAGCUGGUUCCUCUUGCAGUUUUGAUUUUUAGAAUGAACGCAGCAACCUGCCCCAUUCUGCUGAUGCUGCAAAAAGGAGCUGGAAAAGAACGUGCACAGCUUCUCCAGUCUUAGCAUUUGUUACCUUGUAGUUUGGGAAACUUUGCUGCCCCAGUACAAGAGUGUGCUGAGGAUUCUAUUAUCCUGCUAGAUUCUCCCAGGAGGUCAAGUUGAAAACGAGCUAGGUGCGCUCUCUCUCUCUGUUUCUCUUUCUCUUGUCUGUCUCGUCUGCCUGUUUCUCUGUUCCCCUUUUCCUCUCUUCCUCCCUGGCUAUUGCUGCAAAGAAUAUUCUUGUUGAAUUUGU